GAGGGUAUAGCUCAGUGGUAGAGCACGUGCUUAGCAUGUAGGAGGUGCUAGGUUCAAUUUCCAGUACCUCUG
rnacentral:tRNA from 1 species